GACGAACGCUGGCGGCGUGCUUAACACAUGCAAGUCGAACGAUGAACCCGGAGCUUGCUCUGGGGGAUUAGUGGCGAACGGGUGAGUAACACGUGAGUAACCUGCCCUGGACUCUGGGAUAAGCGUUGGAAACGACGUCUAAUACCGGAUAGGACCUUGGAUCGCAUGAUCUGGGGUGGAAAGUUUUUUCGGUCUGGGAUGGACUCGCGGCCUAUCAGCUUGUUGGUGAGGUAAUGGCUCACCAAGGCGUCGACGGGUAGCCGGCCUGAGGGGGUGACCGGCCACACUGGGACUGAGACACGGACCAGACGCCUACGGGUGGCAGCGAUGGGGAAGAUUGCACACUGGGCGAAAGCCUAAUGCAGCAUCGCCGCGUGCGGGAUGACGGCCUUCGGGUUGUAAACCGCUUUUAGUAGGGAAGAAGGGCUUCGGCUUGACGGUACCUGCAGAAAAAGGACCGGCUAACUACGUG
rnacentral:rRNA from 1 species